AUGGAUUGGGGGGUUGGGGCUAAAUCCAAUGACUGAUAUCUUUAUAAGAGAAAGAAGAGGAAGAUUCAGAUAUGGAAACACAGAAAAGAAGGUCAUGUGACAACAGAGACAGAGAUUCAAUGAUACAGCCAUAAGCCAAGGAGCCCCAAGAAUUGCUGGGGACCACCAGAAGCUAGGAUCAGUCAAAGACAGAUUCCUCUCUAGAACCUUCAGAGGUAGACAGGCCCUCUUGGACUUCUAGCUUACAAAAUGGGAAAUUCUUCUGGCAGCAGUAUGGAGGAGAGCCUAGAGUGGGGGGCAUGACCAAUAGCAUAGUGAUGUAUCAACAAUCCAAGAAAAACAGGACGGGACUAAAAUGAGGAAAUGGCAGUGACAGGCAACUGAAUCAGGCACUUUUUGAAGAAAAACUGACAGGAUGUGGUGGCUGACUGAAUAUGGAGGGAAGGAGAAUAGUAGAGUAUGACUCCCAAGUUUUCUAGCUUGGGAAAAUCAGUUACUAAAAUUAACUAAGGUUGUUAUUGGAGGGAAGGGAGGUGGGGACUGGCAGAAAACAGUGUGCUCUGAGGUACACCCAUGAACAUCUAGUAUUCAGGAGCCAGGUGGCAGCAAGAGCAGCAAAUAGCGGUUAAGUAAAGUCCUGGAAGGGGACAGGAUCACGCACAGGAGUGAAAAAAGAGGGCUGAGAACAGUCUUAGGGAAAAUCAACAUUUAAAAACAGAUGGAGAAACAGGAGUGGGAAAGGCCCGGAGAAGGCAAGAGGAAAACAAGAAGAAAAUGAUGCUUCUGAAACCAAAGAACAAGAGGUGAGGAAGAAUGAUCACAUCAACAGACAAUACUACGGGGUCAAAAAAUUAAAGCUGAAAAAAAUGUG